GUUACUGGCAGGCGCAAGAGCAGAGGAUCACAACAUGUCAAGUCUCCUUAUGUGGUCCCUAAACCAAACAAACGUGCAAAACAUUCUGCCAAAGGAAAAUUGUUCCAAAAUGGUGAUGUUAACAAAUCUGGUGAUGAGUAUGAUGUGGUGAAAGCGUCCAUCAAGUACGUGCGUGCGCAUGAGCAUUUACAAAAACAUGCCAAAACAGAAAUUUUCAAUGAUGGCAUGGAAGAAGGUCUCACUGUGAGGAGAGCUUGUCAGAUUAUUAACCAUGAGUGGCUAAGUGGCGACGUAAUUGAUGCAUACUCAUCAUUUUUGGUCGACAAAGUUAAUGAUGAUCGUUUCAUGUUAACAACUUGGAGGAUACAUUGGUUGCUUCACGUUAGACCCGGAAAGAAGACCGCCGGUAAUGAUUAUGAAGCAGAGUCGCAUAGUAAUGGACCCGUGAACAGAUGUGAGGACGAGUAUUUCAAAAAAUCAAAGGUAAGUUUGAUUGUUAACACGGUACAUACAUACGAUAUUAUGUGAUGAUUGUGUUUUAUGGUCCUUGUGAUGCAGACUUACA